rnacentral:rRNA from 1 species
AUUGAACGCUGGCGGCAGGCCUAACACAUGCAAGUCGAGCGGAUGAAGGGAGCUUGCUCCUGGAUUCAGCGGCGGACGGGUGAGUAAUGCCUAGGAAUCUGCCUGGUAGUGGGGGAUAACGUCCGGAAACGGGCGCUAAUACCGCAUACGUCCUGAGGGAGAAAGUGGGGGAUCUUCAGACCUCACGCUAUCAGAUGAGCCUAGGUCGGAUUAGCUAGUUGGUGGGGUAAAGGCCUACCAAGGCGACGAUCCGUAACUGGUUUGAGAGGAUGAUCAGUCACACUGGAACUGAGACACGGUCCAGACUCCUACGGGAGGCAGCAGUGGGGAAUAUUGGACAAUGGGCGAAAGCCUGAUCCAGCCAUGCCGCGUGUGUGAAGAAGGUCUUCGGAUUGUAAAGCACUUUAAGUUGGGAGGAAGGGCAGUAAGUUAAUACCUUGCUGUUUUGACGUUACCAACAGAAUAAGCACCGGCUAGCUUCGUG